UUCMGGAUUUUUGAGCYUGGGAUUUUKAUUCCCAUWAGAGGGUGAAAAGGGCCCGUACGGAGUAGACCUUACGGUWUCAAAGSYUGUUUCCUUAGACAUCGAUAACUUGGAGUCGGAUWGCUUGAGAAUGCAGUCCCAAAGUGGGUGGUAAACUCCAUCCAAGGCUAAAUACUGGCACGARUCCGAUAGUAGACAAGUACCGCGAGGGAAAGUUGAAAAGUACUCUGAAGAGAGAGUAAAUAGUACGUGAAACCGUUUGUAAAGAAGCCGGUGGAGUCAAGCUUCUUGUUGUGGUGAUUGACUGGGAGAAUAUUUGUUUACGGGUAAUGGGCUUUUUGGCUUGGAAAUAGUCUAGUGGUUCGCCGCUACGAUUAGUCCGGGCAGAUUAAUUGUUUUGGCUCUUAUUCCCCUCUUCUCUUCAGUUAUUUAUCACAGCUGAAAUCACAGUCAAUUUGCAUAGUGAUGCGUGAUAGUCUAACUGUGUUUUAGUGGGCCUUGCGUCUACUAAUCAKGGGACGGCAGGUUGAUAUACGGUGGGUUUACCAUCAUGUGUUAUAUAAAAGCUUCGGUUUGCUGACUAUCAUGUUUCAAUGAUCMUCUUCAGGAGCGGCGGCAGACUCCCACCCA
rnacentral:rRNA from 1 species